GGAAGGAUCAUUAACAAUUAAAAACAAAUUUUCUUUUGAGAAGAGAUUCUCAAGGGGUAGUUUGUUUUUGACAGUGAACAUUUAAAAUCUUUUCUUUAUAAUAAAACCAAAAACAAAAUUACUUGUGAAAAAAAAACAAAAAAAAACAUUUUUUUCACUUUCAACAAUGGAUAUCUUGGCUCCCGUUUCGAUGAAGAACGUAGCAAACUGCGAUAAUUGACGUGAAUUGCAGAAUAAAGUGAAUCGUCGAGUUUUUGAAUGCACCCUGCACCUCGGAGACAAAUCUCUGAGGUAUGCUUGGUUGAGUGUUACUCAAAAAUUUAAUAAAAUCAAACAAAUAAUUUGAAGGUCUCUCUCUCAAAAGGGAGUCCUUUGAAAAAUUAAAUGUUAUUUCAAAACCAUUAUGAAAUAAAGAGAAAUCCUUUCAGGAGUGUGUGAAUUGAAAAAUGCAAAUUUUUUAAGAAACAUGAACUUGAAUGGAUAUUUUUUGUUUUCAUAAUGAAACACCUUUUUUUUCAAUAUACCUCAACUCAAGCAAGAUUACCCGCUGAAUUUAAGCAUAUUAAUAAGCGGAGGAAAAGAAAACAACAGUGAUUCCCCCAGUAACGGCGAGUGAACAGGGAAAAGCUCAGACUUGAAAUCUGGAAGUCGGUUUCACGAUUUCCCGAAUUGUAGUCUUUCGAGCAUCACCCCUUGGUUCCCUCUGUCAUGAAAAAGUAUCCUGGAACGGAUUGGCAAAGAGGGUGAGACCCCCGUUUUCAUGUGACGGAGAGGUGCCGGUGCAGCGGGUGGUGCUUGUCGAGUCAGGUUGCUUGAGAGUGCAGCCUAAAACGGGUGGUAAACUCCACCUAAAGCUAAAUAAGCAACGGGAGACCGAUAGCGAAAAAGUACCGUGAGGGAAAGAUGAAAAGUACUCUGGAAAGAGAGUAAAAAGUGCUUGAAAUUGUUGAAAGAGAAGCGCUUGAACUUAGUGGCUGCCUUGUCCCUGGAGAAAGCUUCCGCGCAGCAAUGCCCGGGAGUAUUUUCUUCAGGGGCGGUGGGCUGGCACUGGUUGAGUCCGGGCUUCAAGAAGGCCCAAAGCAGCUGAAUCGCUUGGAUGAGUUUGAGCUCCGUGGGUGCUGCAACCGGUGGGGCAACCUGCCGGCAUUGCUGUCUGACGGGGUCAACGACUCAUAAUCUUAUAUUAACAAGCGCACGCUCACUCGACCAGUCAGUGAACCAAAGUCCCUGAGUCCCUUCAACAGCUCAUUCUGCGCCUUUUGGGUUUCCUGGCGAGGUCCAACGUGGCGGGGCCACCUCGCCUGUAUCCUUUGCAGGUUUCUGCAAGGGAGCAGGCGAGACCCUGCGCUUGGGCCGCGUCACAUGGGGGCCCGGCAUGCAGAAGUAAUAAAGAAGGGGUUUGUACUCAAAAGGCCUUUUUCCCUUUGCCAGCAAAAUAAGUUCAAACGUCCCGUCUUGAAACACGGACCAAGGAGUCUAACAUGCGCGCGAGCGUUCUGGUGAUCAAAACCAAACAUAUUCGAAAACAAUCCAACGCGAAACGAAAGUGAAAAAGAAGUGGGAAGCGGCUCCUUUCACAAAACUUGGGGGCCGCCGCACCACUCACCCACCCGGAGGUUCGUCCGAAACGGGUGAGAGUGAUAGUGUGCAUGAUAGGACCCGAAAGAUGGUGAACUAUGCUUGGGUAGGACAAAGCCAGGGGAACCCUGGUGGAAGUUCGUAGCGAUACUGACGUGCAAAUCGUUCGUCAAACCUGUGCAUAGUGGCGAAAGACUAAUCGAACCAUUUAGUAGCUGGUUCCCUC
rnacentral:misc_RNA from 1 species